AACGCUAACCUGAGGCACGGAGAGGAACUUUUAUCUGAACUGAGACGAGUUUUCCUAAUCCGGUUAGCUUCCCCCUAUGGCCAUCUUGGCUUGGUUCAAACUAAGGUGAUUACAGCCGACUGCAGCACGGGCAGGCCCAACCACCGUCACGCAGGCGACCGACCGGGCCCACCGUAUCAACCCCCAAGGGAGGACUAGGAAGAACGGGACUUUAAGACAGACUAAUAUGCACCCUGCAACCUGUACUUGUAAGAGGCGGC